GAUGGGUACCGCAGAUACCUUCAUGGAUAUUCUAUAGAGCAUAUUCUGCCUCUAAUGGAUGGAGGCAUUGGAGUAACAGCAUUGAGUAUGACCUAUUAUAUAGCUUCCCCUCGUAUACCAAAUACUGAGGUGUUAGGUAUCUCAGCUUCCUAGCCUCUUCUCGAUUGACAGGCAGAGCUUUCUCUUAUAGAAAUUGGACA
rnacentral:lncRNA from 1 species